AAGAUUUGAUUUUUACAUCGGACUUGUCUUACCCGGACACAUUAACAGAAAGUCCUCGACCACUUCCUGACCGACCAUCAUUCCUCGGUAAUACCUAUGCACGACACUUCCGUUGCCCAAACACACAUAUUCUGAACACUAACUCAGAAACAGAAUUCUUGUUCCAACCAAACCAUGAUCGAACACCGACUAACCACAUUCGGA
rnacentral:lncRNA from 1 species